rnacentral:sRNA from 1 species
UCAUGCUUUAUUGCUUGCCCUUGGCCUGUGCAGCUUAUUCAGACAGGCAGAAGUGCCCUGUGCAGAGCACGAGCAAAGUGUUGGAUUUAAAUCCCUUUAGGCACGCCCUAUUAAUGCUCUUGUGUAUCACACUGUGAGCAGAUUCAUUCAUUCUCUAACAUUUGCUGAGCCCUAUCUAUGUCCUGGCCAUGGUGCUCAGCGCUGGGUACAGAAGGGGGAACAGAUGACACCCUGACUCCCGAAGCUCUGGAUUUGAUUUCGUAGCAUGAGGCAGACAAGCACAGCAACAAGAUCACAGCCAUCAACAGCUGCCUCAGAUGCCAGCUGUGCACACUGGAGACACAGAAUGAGAGAGACUCCUGGACAAACUGAGACCUGACAGGUGAACCAAGGUCCUGGUGGAGCAACUAUGUCUGAUGGAUGCAAACUUGCUACCUACAAAUCACGGAGCUAAGCAUCAACCUGAGUGGCUAAUGAUCAUCUUAAUUAACCCACAAGACUUUAUGCAUGGCUGGUAUUCAUCCAACCUUUUGAUCCUAGACAGGAAUCUAUUAAAGACCGUUGAGAGAAUGAAAAGACAAAAUCCAACUUCCAUAAGCAGAAUUGUUAAGAGGAAAGACAGAAGAAUGAUCUUUGAUCAGAGAGGCGAAUGCCAACACAGCAGCUUCUUACUCUAUUUAUUAGCUUGGGAUCUUUGCCAGAAGAUUUUUCUCUGUCAACCAUUUCCAGACUUGUAGGUUGUCAUUGCUAAGACUGGAAUGACAGAAGCCUCAGCCAUGAACCUGAAAUGGGAUGCAAAGAUAUUUUUUCCCCUCCCCUUCAGCAUGUUCCUCAGCAUCUGAUCAGGCAACACCCAGAAUGUGGUCCUGAAACAUCUAAAAAAGGCCUGGAUUCAGCUUCUCUUGAAUUCCAAAGGCCUGAUACGCCUGUGAUUUUUUUCCUUGGUGCCAAGUCAGCUCUGCUUAUCGACUGCUAUUUUAAUGAAACCUCCUGGUACCAGCUCAGGAAGGAUAUUUUUAUUAGAUACGACUGGGCGGAUUCUCAUGUUGAAAGCAUUUGGUGUAAAACAUGAACACAUUCAGUCCUCAGAUAUCCUUCCAAAUAUUUCCUUUGAAAUCGGAAAAUUACCAAGGAACUUGUGAUAAAAGAUGAAAAAAGGAAUUAAAAGGGUAAAAAAAAAAAGCCCACAAAGAUGACGUGCUUUGCUUCCUCUCUACACUUCUACAUGGGUGGGGCUAUGGAUAUCAGCAUUUGGAGAAAAGGAGACACCUGGAACUCAGCAAUCCCAGCCUUGCCUGUACACAUGGAGACCUAGAACCGGGGCUGGUUGCGCUCUUGAUGUCUCUUCUCCCAUGUCUUCUUCUAACUUCCCAUUAGGGCUGAAGUCAUGUGAUACAAGUAAGAACAGGUGUGGCUUACAAGCAAGUCCUUUCUGUUAAUUCAGGAUAUAUUGGUCAUUGUAUUCGGAGCUCUGCAUCAUGGAGGACAUCGCCAGCUCUCUGUACCAGAAAUCAGCCUCCCAUUGUACUAAAAGAGUCCUUUAAAAAUCUUUCACCUUCUCUAACUAAGAACACAGCAAUGACAGAGGAUUGCAUUCUGGGCUCUGUGGCUACCAGGCCGAGUUCCAAUAUUGGCUCUGUUUUAAUGGCUGGUUGUCCUCAGGAAAGUUAUUUUAACAUUGUGCCUCAAUUUCACUCAUUUCAUAGGGCCACUGUAUGAGGGUAAUCCAUGUACUAUGCUAUGCUAUAUCUGAACCUCCUGUUCUCAGGAUGACCUUGGCCUUGAAUUUCUAAUCUUCUUGCCUCCACUUCCCAAGUAUUGGGAAUAUGGGCAUCAGCUACCUCUCCUGGCACAAAAAGGAACUGGGAAUGAAAAGCUUGAAGGAAUAUAACAUGACAUACAGCUGCCAGUGGGUGGAAUGUGCACAGAGGAAGCUCUAAGGGGAACUCUAGCACAUGCACGUCUCCGUGAUGCAUGCGGUGCCUGCAUCCAGGCUAUGCGCUACCAGAUGGUGAUCCACGCUUCUGUUGCCUGGCCCUUAAAAUCACAGCUACCUUUUGGCCAAUCCUGGAGGAAGUGAACUGCCAUUAAAGGUCACUCCCAGGAUAUCUCCUUCACAUCCUCCGAAUUAACCUCUCAAUAGUAGACUGAGGCUGUGAUUUUUUUUUAAAGCCAGGACUGCUUUCUGGCUACGGUUUUAGCCACGUGUCUAUCAAUCUCAAAGGGGUUUUGCUGUCUUCAUGGCAAACAAAGACCUAGUCAGCCUUGCCACUUACUUUGUGAUGCUUUGUGCAAAAGAAGGCCAUCUUUGAGGCUUCUCAAGAUUUCUCCCAGGACUCCUAAGAAUCCUUUUGCAAAGGAUACCUGCAAACCUUCCUGGACAUGCAAGGAGUCAAGUGAUGCGUAUGCAAAUGAGACUCCCUUGUGACUCUGAAUCACUAUACCACUGAGGAGCUUUUCUUCACAGUAAUCAACAUCUCAUCUUAAUUGCUUUUGUUUAUGUUCAAUAAGUGCAUCAUUUUGGCAACACCAGCUCACAGCAAUAUCUUAAAUUACCCAAGGCUGCCCACUUUCAUUUAUGGACUCUGCCUUGUGUCUGAUGAGCACUUAGAUUUUUUAACUAUUUAUUUCCUCUGCCUGACAGGGAAUGAAGAAUAUACAGCUUAUGGGAAAAAUUAAGUAGGAGGAGCAGUGAGGACUAGGGAACCAUAACAGAAGUGUACAGUAUGCAAGGCCAAUACAAAAGCAGUGAGUUUUUAAUAAUCCGAGUGUGCAAUACAUAUGUAUCCCUCAUAAAAUCAAUUGUUGAUUAUUGUCGAAUCUGCUAUUUCUCAGUUUUCCACCUCAUAUAAGACCAGAAAAAAAAUCCUGGAGGAAUUAAGAAAAAUGAAAAUGCUCCAAUAAUGGCAAAUUCAGUUAUGGUUAAAAAAAAUAAAGUUGUCUACUAAGUUGAUGUUUAACACAUAGCCCCUUCCAGGAACUGAGUUGAGGGUGUUGGAUGCACUGAUUACUAGGAGUAUAAUCUGAGAUAAAACUGCAUUUUUUGCCCUUGAUUUGAGUAAUUAUCUUGCUUUAAAAUAAAUUCCAGUUGUCAUUAUGCAGGCAGAGGAAAGUCAGAAAAUGGAGGGCCACUGGGGAAUCUGUGGGCAUCACUGGAGCUGUGCUAUUCAUCAUCUCCAUGAAGCCGCUCAUGUUACUAUAAUAAUCCAUGCCUUGAUUUCCCAGUCUGUCCCCCCUCCGACUGACUACUUACCAUCUUAUUGCCUUUAUCAUUAUGGUACAGGGUUAGGUGGCUGAACCCAGUGUUACCAGGUUCUUGGCCUCUUAUUCAAGAGUGAAGCGGAAGCUCACCCAGAUUGUAAAGCUGUCUGUCUGAGGAAAUUUUAUUUAAAGUUGAGCAAUAGAAAAGAUCAGAAGACACUGCCAGGGAGCAGUGGGGCACCAGAGCGAAGCUACUCAAGAGCUCUCAGGCUUCGCCUCAGGCUUCUUGCUAUAAUGUCUAAAGGAAGAAGGGGUUGGUUACCAAGGGAAUUUAUUUUGGGUCACAUAAUCAUUUUUAUACUUUGCAUAUCCCUUUCUGUAAUGCAUAUUGUAUCAUAUUAUGCCCAAUUCUGUAUAGGCAGUAGGAGGUAAAUAGGGAAGUCUCCUUAAAAGCUCACUUCAAGACACAGUUUUACCUAAUUGAUUAUGAACCCCAAAAGGAUUCAGAAUGCAUUGGUUUCCUAUCUUCCCUACAAGGCACAAGCAGUGUAUGAUUGGGCAGAUUCUAAGUUUGCUAGUUGUUAACCAGAGAAGAAAUGUACUUCACAGAAAUGUAUCUCAUUGUGUGGCUUGGUGCAGGUGGGAGUCUUAGAUUAGCUAAGACUUGGUUCAGAGGGAACGGUGAAAAGCUUAAGGCAAGUGGAGUCUCAGUUUGUUAAAAUGUUUCUUUUGCUUGCCUGUCUCAGUUACAUUUAAUUAUGGGAGAAUAUUAGCUAGCAGUUGGUAAGUAAUAAAAUCACAAGUGUGGUUUCAAACAACUUGCCUUUGUAAUAGAAGUUUCUAUGAUAAAAAAAAAUCUGUGUAAACAUAGCAACUGAAUCCUCUCUUUCAGGGACACAGAGGGAUAAAUCAAGGUAUUCAAUGGGAUUAUGUCUCAUCUGAGGUGGGACCAGGGAAGGAUAUGCACCCAAGCUUCCAAGCUUCUCUGGUAACUGGCAGAAUUUCAUUCCCUGUAGUUUGCUUAUCUGAGGAUUUUAUGUUCUGGCUGAGUGGGAGGCAUUGUUAGUUCCUACACAGUUUCUGGGCAGAGACUGCUUCAGUUCUGUGGGAUGUGGACCUUCUUGCUUUAACCAAUGUGUUCAUUAAGGCAGGUAAAAGAAAGAGAGAGAAUGUUGAGAGGGAAACACACUGGUUCGGGAAUUGUUUAUUUGUUGUUUUUUCUUUUUGUUUCAGCCAAAAGUAGUACAAGCCAUCAACUACCAUGAAACUCUCCCUUCAGUUCACGCUCAGUUUCUUUUGAAGUCUUGGUUGGUUAAUCCAUUUCAUGGGUGUGAGUCAUUGCCAUGCAGGUAGCAUGACGCAUGGCAAUUCUUUCCUUCCUUGUUUCUGAGGCAAAGAACACUGAAUCAAGGCAUCUCCGGGGCCAUGUCUUCUCUGGGGCUGGAGAGAAGGGCUCUUCUUUGCCUCUUCCUGGUUUUCUUGACUCUCCUAACCCUUAACUUGAGGCUGUCACUGCAGCCUCUGCUGCAAAUGCCAAGCAGAAUUUCCCUUGCUUUUGUCUAUGUUUACCCUUCUCCUUAUAUAGACAUAAAUCAUCAAGUUUGGGAUCCACCUAAUCCCAUAUGGUCUCAUUUUAAAAUGACUACAUCGGCAAAGAGUGUUUCCACAUAGAGAAUUUGGGAUAGACGUGGCAUAUUUGUGGACACUGUUCAUCCCACUAUUGCUGUGACUUUUCCCUUUGGCCUUUGCUACCUUACUCUAAAUGAAACAUGCAAACCACACUUUUUAACUCCCCACUGUGAAUGAUAAAGCUUCUUAAAAGGCAGCCAGGGAAGUGGUCCAGAAUCAGCACCUUCAGUAGUCAAAGAACCAGGGCUGAUAUUUGGUGUCCUUUUGCUGCAAGUUCCUCAUCUAUAAAAUGUUAAUAAUAAUGAUGAUGUUACUUAGCAUUUGGUAUUGUUAGAGGACUAAGUGACAUAUGUAGUAUGCAGAAUUAUAAGAACAAUUUCUGGUCCAUAGAAAACACUCCAAAGAGUCAUAAUCCAGCUCUCCUUUUAUCCCCCCCCCCAACUAGCUUAUUAGUUAUUAGUAAAUAUUAUUAGUAAAUGUUGUGUUUAGUGCUUGUUUUUCAAAUUAUACUUAAAGUCAUUGAUUAAUAAUUUUGACUAUACUCACAACCAAUUAUGAAGGUAAAACAGAAACAAAUGUCUAUAAUGGGAUACAUUCAUAUAUUUAUAGUUUAUGAUAAUUAAAUAACAAAUUAAAAUUGAUUGCAAUUAUGUGUUAAAUGAUUUAGAGCAUAGAGGUAUGUGAGAAGUCUUUAUUGCUUAAUAUACUUAUAUAGUGUUUGAAUAAUUCUUUCUUCUAUGAAUAAAUAAGUAACUUCAUAUACUUUUGCUUAUCUAUCUCUAGGUGUUUCAGCUGUGCUAUUUCUCUUUUCCUCCUUGGUCUCUGUAUUUACUUUAUGUGACUUAGUCAUCUUUAUUUUGUUGAGUGACUAACUUUAAGCACAGUAUUUGCAUGGGAAAUCACCUAUUAUCUGUGCACUUUAUUAUCACAACACUCAUGUUACCAUUUCAUAUUUGAGUUCUUAUCCUCAGCAGGAUUGUAUUAUUGACACGUGGCGUGCAUCAGUUCAUUUAAUCUCCGUGACAUGUAUGACAUUUCACUGAUGAGAUAACAGGAGGUACAGAGUGCCAAAGUAAUUUGUGCAAGGCCGCAGAGCUUCUCCAUGGCACAUGUGGUGUUUGAGAAGUUUCUGGCAUCAGAAUUUCUUGUUAGAGCCAGUUCAUUCUGUGGCUUCUUAGUGUCCAUAAACUCAAGGCAGAUUGCCAUACUCUACAUGGAUCCAGUGAUUGACAUAGCUGGGGCAUGGAGGGAAUGAAGGAAGGACAGUCACAUGAGUACAGACACAGAAUAACUAGGAUUGGGGACUGGGGUCUCUCCGAUGAAGAAGCCACAAUAUGACAGGGCGAGACAGUGCAGAGAUCUCUCCCUCUUGUAUUCUUGCUGAGGUCAUCUUAACUCCAGUUUGAUCUCCUUGAUGGGAAGCCCCAUGGAAAAUUACUCAACUCUAUUCUAGGAGUCCAAGGUCACAAUGCCCUGCUAUUUUCUGUUAAAUUGCCUGCCUGUGCAAACCUCCCUCUCUAGCUAACUGCUUAUCUUAAUGUCUGUUAAACUGCUUGCUUGAGCAAAACAUUGCUCUGAAGUUGCAGAGUGAGAAUUCUGGAUGUGGUUUUUGUCUUUAAAAACCCCUUACCCUAAACACCUAGUACUAUCCUUGAGACCAGAAUACCUAGGAGGUGCUGGAAUAAAGACUUUCUACUGGCUAUAAACUGUGUGGUACUCUCUGGUGGAUUCCCCAAAACAACAGCACCUCCGAAGUUCUGUGGGUUUAUUAUAUACCAUAGAAUUGGGGUUUUUGGGCAAAGCUGAACAAGGAGGCAGAAUUUAUGGUGUACAGAGCAUAGAGAAGGAAGGUUUAGCUAAUCACCGUAGGAGAGGUUUCUGUAGGGAGAAGUCUUCAGGCAUAAAUAUCUGAGCAGGGGAAGAGGAGAGAGAAAACUAUGGUAGACAUUUUCUGCCCAUACUGCCAGCUUUCACACUUAGACCAGAGGAAGCAUUGUUACCUCUCUGAGCCUCAGCCAGAGAAGGCUUUGCCAGUCCUAUACCAUUGAGGUAUUGGGGGUCUUGACAUUGCUGCCUGUGUCAACAUCAUAUAUUCACUCAAGACUGUACUUGCUCUCUACACAGAAUCUCGUUGCAUGUGACUAAAGGCACAUAGACUCUGUAUAUCUACUGAGUCACAGAUUUGGUGUCUCUGAAUACAUGCCACCCAAAAGAACAACAGCAAAAAAUCAUUAACGCAAAGAAGUGCUCCCUUUGUUUAUAGCCAACCAGUACUCCUUCCAUGUGUCUAUCCAACUCAGGCCUUUUCAGGCAUUGUGUUUUACCAGGGGCCCCUUUAAUAUUUCUCAUUCAUAGAGAAAAUGAAACCAUGCCUCUGUCUUCCCAUUAAGAAGUUGCAGUGCCUUCUUUACACAGAUCCGAUGACAGAAGUUCUUCUCCUGUCGAAGAGGUUAUUUCUGACACCUCUCGACUUCCUGUCCCCAUUUGGACUGAUUGCUUCCCUGGCACAUGCUUGUCACCCUGAGAUCUUACUUGAUUGCCCUUCUGGGUUUACCUUCCAUUUUCCCUUCACUUUGCUGAACUCCUUUUCUAUUUUCCUUGGAUUUCUUUUUCAUUUGGCUCAAGUAUAUUUUCCGUUUUAUUAUUGUUUUGCAGAAAGCACUCUCGGCUGAAACACGAUGUUCUUAUAUGUAUGCUGGUAAGGUGUAUAAUUGAAAUAUGCUUUCCAUCAAAAAGUAGAAAUUGAUGUGAAUCUGAUUAUUGGCCCAUUGAAGAUAACACCUUUCUGUCUCCCUAAGCUUUGAGGAUUUCCUCACAGGCUGUGCUAUUUUGGACUGUUGCCAGAUGUCAUUGAGCGUUGUUCAUCCUCUAUGACACUUGGAGUGAAUCUGUCAUUCUGCAACAACCGGAGUUUUAUUUCUAAAACAUAAAUCCCCAGGCCCCAUCUUCAUCUAGGGCAGAAUCUCGAUAUUCUUCCACCAUCUCUGAAUGUACUGUUAGUCGACACUGUCCCAUAGAUGAUGCUAGCUAAAACAGGGAUCUGGGUAUUUUUUAUUUAGUCCGUCUUAAUGUGGUGUAGUGUCCCCGUUAGUAAAACUGUCACGCGGACCUAUGCUCAUCUAGGUUUCAAUCCCUUCAGCAGAAGAAUGGCAUGGAAUGUAAAGGAAAGACACCCCUCCGGAGCUCCUGGUUUUCUUAUUGUCACGAGCAAUCUUAUUUGUAAGAACUGGCUUGGGACAUCCACCUGUUGGAAGAAGUUAAUCCGUCAAGCUGCUGCAACUCUGGCAAGGCUCAGUGACCUUCAACAGACCAAGUCACUUGCUGUGACAGAGUGGAGGAAAUGUUUGUCCUUGGCUUCCAUUUUGGCUGAAUCUUUUUGUCAUAUUACCUGUUUCUUGGUCCCUGAAGGUAGAUGUCUGUCCGAAAUAAAGUCAUCUGUUUUAAUUUCUCCGGC